GUGGUAUAGUAGUUAGAACGUCCGCCUCGGAUGCAGGAGGUCGUGGGUUCGAUCCCCAGUCGAAUCCUACCA